CCAGCCUUCUUCAUCAUAUAGAAUAUUUUUACAUGCUCCUAACUGCAUUGGUCCCAUUUGAGCUGAAGACAUGACUCUUUUAAUAUGUACAAAAAUGUUUUUUUUUUUAAAGAAUGAAUAAAUACCGAACCCAAGAAAGGUUGCCUACGUAUCUCAUCAAAAUGAGAAUCAGGUGUGCGUAGUUCAUGCAGAUAUGUCUUUGAAAAUAUGCAUAAACUAUUUAAUUUUUUUUUUUUUUUUUUUCCAAAAUUUGAAGAAAUGAAUACCGAACCCAUGACGGGUUGCCUACGUAUCUCACCGGGAUGAGAAUCAGGUUCGCGUAGUUCGUUCAAAUAUGACAUAAAAUAAUUUUAAAAUUUAGACAAACUCGAAGCGAUUCCAUGUAUCUUUUUA
rnacentral:lncRNA from 1 species